UACGGAGGGGGCUAGCGUUGUUCGGAAUUACUGGGCGUAAAGCGCGCGUAGGCGGACCUGCAAGUCGGGGGUGAAAGCCCGAGGCUCAACCUCGGAACUGCCUUCGAUACUGCGGGUCUCGAGUCCGGGAGAGGUGAGUGGAAUUCCUAGUGUAGAGGUGAAAUUCGUAGAUAUUAGGAAGAACACCAGUGGCGAAGGCGGCUCACUGGCCCCGGUACUGACGCUGAGGCGCGAAAGCGUGGGGAGCAAACAGG
rnacentral:rRNA from 1 species